GACGAACGCUGGCGGCGUGCCUAAUACAUGCAAGUAGGACGCAGUUGCGAACGGGUGAGUAACGCGUAGGUAACUACCUAUUAGAGGGGGAUAACUAUUGGAAACGAUAGCUAAUACCGCAUACUAGUAGAUGGACCUGCGUUGUAUUAGCUAGUAGGUAGGGUAAUGGCCUACCUAGGCAAAGAUACAUAGCCGAGCUGGAGAGGUGGUCGGCCCACCUGGGACUGAGACACGGCCCAGACUCCUAACGGAGGCAGCAGUAGGGAAACUUCGGCAAUGGUGCGAAACCUGAACGAGCAACGGCGCGUGAGUGAAGGAGGUUUUCGGAUCGUAAAGCUCUGUUGGUAAGGAAGCGGUACUUAACCAGAAAGGGACGGCUAACUACGUGCCAGCAGCCGCGGUAAUUC
rnacentral:rRNA from 1 species